rnacentral:ncRNA from 1 species
AAGGGAAUGAGGUUCUCCCGUAGUGACUGACUCACUAAAACCGCUUUUAAGCUGAUGACUUCUGCGAUU